CGCCGCGGGCCCGGUUUAUAACAUUGGCACUCUGGGGGUCACCCCCGGGAUUCGCCCUUCCCAUCGGAUCCCCGUUCCCAAAAGCAGAGCGGCCAAAUCCACCCCUCCCACACACACACACCGCCUCGAAACCACGAGGAAAGCGUGCAGAACCGUGAGAAAAACCAACAGCCAAAAACGAUACUCUCCAAUUUGUUUAAGAAAUCAACACCGUCCAACAAAAUAAAUUCACAUUUCACUGACUUUUGAUUAUUAUUUUUUUUUUCUCCGUUCUUUAAUUGCUCAACAGAGCACGGGAGGUGUCCGGGCUGAAGCAUCACCCUCCUCCCCCUUCCCCGAGCUCUUCUCCGCCCUUCUGUCGCGGUGUCCCUGCAGGGAAGAGCUGAGCUCAGCGGGGCUCCAAAACGGGCCGCCACUUCUCAGCCGUUCUCCCCCUCCGGAGGACACAGAGCAGCAGCCGCACGGGGCCCCGGGGGGGAUGGGGGGUGGCUGGCAGAGCCGGGACGCUCCGCUGCGGAGUCCCCGAGCCGUCCGGAGCCGCAGCCGAAGCCGGGAUUCCCCACAGGGCUGCGCUCAGCAGGUGCGGCCCUCCGGCACGGAGCGCGUUUGCCCUCAGCCUCCGUUCUUUCUCCAAUUCAAUGGUGGAAAAAGGAAGAAACGCAAACCGAAAUGAAAACGGCAAUAAAAACGCGAGAUGGACGGACAGCAAAAAUUGAAAGAGGGUCCGACGGCGGCAAGUUAACGGGUUUCCAUUCGUUUUCGUUAUUAUUUUUAAAUUGAUUAUGAGCUGCCCGUGAGCCUCGAGGGCGGGGGGGGGAUUUCGCCGGACAGCGGCAGCCCCGGCCCUCCUGUGCCUCCCCCGGGCUGCCCCGCUGCAGUGCGGCGAGGGGGGAGAGGAAGGAGAGCGGAGCCCCCGGCCGCCCGUCCCUGCAUUUUCGGCAGUCGAUUUCAUGCCUCUCCGGUUGUGGGUCACGAGCAGGGCUUUGGCAGGAGCCGAGGUGACAUCGCCAGGAGACGCUGAAGCGGAGGUAGGGGUCAGGGCUCUGUAACUCGACCGGUUUCAUCCUCCCCCCUCCCCGGCUCGGCGCUGGAAGGGGCUCUCCCGGGGGUGCGGGCUGCUGGGAGCCCCGGGGAGCUGCGACAGCGGGAGGGAGGUGGGAAUGCCUUUUAGGACAAAUAAUGUCCCAACACCAUCUCACGUUAAAUGUGCCCCCAACCCCGAACCGCACACCCCGCCUGCAGGGCCAAGGGCAGUCCCGAUCAGAGGAGGGAUGGGAGCGGGGUCCCGCUGCUCUGGAGCCCCGGAGCAGACCCACGGCGUGACAUCGCGUAAUGGAGCGGAUUUGCACGGGCAGGAGGAAGCUGCGGAUGCCUUGAGAUCCCCGCGGCGGCUCCUACCCGCCCGGUACCGGCGGUCGGGACUGUGCCCGGGCAGCCGCCGCCGUUACAGCUUUGUCCUUCGAACCAACCCACAUGUCGCCGUGUCCGGAAAGAAGAAAAAAACAAAAAAAAA